rnacentral:rRNA from 1 species
AUUGAACGCUGGCGGCAGGCCUAACACAUGCAAGUCGAGCGGAUGAAGGGAGCUUGCUCCUGGAUUCAGCGGCGGACGGGUGAGUAAUGCCUAGGAAUCUGCCUGGUAGUGGGGGAUAACGUCCGGAAACGGGCGCUAAUACCGCAUACGUCCUGAGGGAGGAAGUGGGGGAUCUUCGGACCUCACGCUGUCAGAUGAGCCUAGGUCGGAUUAGCUAGUUGGUGGGGUAAAGGCCUACCAAGGCGACGAUCCGUAACUGGUCUGAGAGGAUGAUCAGUCACACUGGAACUGAGACACGGUCCAGACUCCUACGGGAGGCAGCAGUGGGGAAUAUUGGACAAUGGGCGAAAGCCUGAUCCAGCCAUGCCGCGUGUGUGAAGAAGGUCUUCGGAUUGUAAAGCACUUUAAGUUGGGAGGAAGGGCAGUAAGUUAAUACCUUGCUGUUUUGACGUUACCAACAGAAUAAGCACCGGCUAACUUCGUG